CCUACGGGAGGCAGCAGUGGGGAAUCUUGCACAAUGGAGGAAACUCUGAUGCAGCGAUGCCGCGUGAGUGAAGAAGGCCUUUGGGUUGUAAAGCUCUUUUGUAGGGGAAGAUAAUGACUGUACCCUAAGAAUAAGGUCCGGCUAACUUCGUGCCAGCAGCCGCGGUAAUACGAAGGGACCUAGCGUAGUUCGGAAUUACUGGGCGUAAAGCGCGCGUAGGCCGUUGAGUUAGUUAAUUGUGAAAUCCCAAAGCUUAACUUUGGAACUGCAAUUAAAACUGCUCGACUAGAGUUUGAUAGAGGAAAGCGGAAUACAUAGUGUAGAGGUGAAAUUCGUAGAUAUUAUGUAGAACACCAGUUGCGAAGGCGGCUUUCUGGAUCAACACUGACGCUGAGGCGCGAAAGUAUGGGUAGCAAAGAGGAUUAGAUACCCUCGUAGUCCAUACCAUAAACGAUGAUUGCUAGAUGUUGGAAAUUUAUUUUCAGUAUCGCAGCUAACGCAUUAAGCAAUCCGCCUGGGGAUACGACCGCAAGGUUAAAACUCAAAGGAAUUGACGGCUGAGANGCGAGCGACGACGAGGAGAG
rnacentral:rRNA from 1 species